UACGAAGGGUGCAAGCGUUACUCGGAAUUACUGGGCGUAAAGCGUGCGUAGGUGGUUUGUUAAGUCUGUUGUGAAAGCCCCGGGCUCAACCUGGGAAUGGCAAUGGAUACUGGCAGGCUAGAGUGCGGUAGAGGGUAGUGGAAUUCCCGGUGUAGCGGUGAAAUGCGUAGAGAUCGGGAGGAACACCAGUGGCGAAGGCGGCGACCUGGUCCGAGACUGACGCUGAGGCGCGAAAGCGUGGGGAGCAAACAGG
rnacentral:rRNA from 1 species